CCUACGGGAGGCAGCAGUGAGGAAUAUUGGUCAAUGGACGAGAGUCUGAACCAGCCAAGUAGCGUGAAGGAUGACUGCCCUAUGGGUUGUAAACUUCUUUUAUAUGGGAAUAAAAUGUUCCACGUGUGGGAUUUUGUAUGUACCAUAUGAAUAAGGAUCGGCUAACUCCGUGCCAGCAGCCGCGGUAAUACGGAGGAUUCGAGCGUUAACCGGAUUUAUUGGGUUUAAAGGGAGCGUAGGUGGAUUGUUCAGUCAGGUGGGAAAGUUUGAGGCUCAACCGUAAAAUUGCAGUUGAAACUGGCAUUCUUGAGUACAGUAGAGGUGGGCGGAAUUCGUGGUGUAGCGGUGAAAUGCUUAGAUAUCACGAAGAACUCCGAUUGCGAAGGCAGUUCACUGGAGUGUAACUGACACUGAGGCUCGAAAGUGUGGGUAUCAAACAGGAUUAGAUACCCGAGUAGUC
rnacentral:rRNA from 1 species